rnacentral:lncRNA from 1 species
UACAUCAUGAAUUUAAUACCUGACUAUUAGUAAUUUUUUUUAAUUAUAAGAUUAAGAUAUGCAAAUGAAAAAUAUAUCUUUUGAUUGAUUUAUAAAUAAUAAUAUGAAUUAAAUCAACCCCAAAAAUUAUACCUUUAAAUAAAUUUCUGUUUCUUUGGUCCUAUUUGUUGAGCUCGUCCAAUGUCUCUGUUUUUUCAAUCCCAUGGCUUCUCCCACAUCUGUACAUAAGAUAGUCUAAGAGAAAGGAAUGAAAAUGGCCUAGAUUUUAUUAUUUAUUUAUUUAUCUUAUUGCUAGGAUGGCAAUC